GAGCUUGCGGCGUUGGUGAUAAUGCAGUCGAGCGGGAAAGGGGGCUUCGGCCCCCCGGUACAGCGGCGAACGGGUGAGUAACGCAUGGUCAACCUACCCUUGAGACCGGGAUAGCCGCCCGAAAGGGCGGGUAAUACCGGAUAAGACCACGGCCCUGCAUGGGGCUGAGGUAAAAAGGUUGGGAUCUUCGGACCUUCCGCUCAUGGAUGGGACCAUGUCCUAUCAGCUAGUUGGCGGGGUAACGGCCCACCAAGGCUUCGACGGGUAGCCGGCCUGAGAGGGUGUCCGGCCACACUGGAACUGCGACACGGUCCAGACUCCUACGGGAGGCAGCAGUGCUGAAUCAUUCGCCAAUGCGCGAAAGCGUGACGGUGCGACGCCGCGUGGAGGAUGAAGGCCUUCGGGUUGUAAACUCCUGUCAGGGGAUAGAAAACCGCAGUCGUGAAUAGCGGCUGCGCUGAUCCUCCCCAAAGGAAGCACAGGCUAACCUCGUGCCAGCAGCCGCGGUAAGACGAGGUGUGCAAGCGUUGCUCGGAAUCACUGGGCAUAAAGGGUGCGUAGGCGGUGCGGCCAGUCCGAUGUGAAAUCCCCCGGCUCAACCGGGGAACUGCAUCGGAUACUACCGCGCUUGAGGGUGAAAGGGGCAAGCGGAAUUCCGGGUGUAGCGGUGGAAUGCGUUGAUAUCCGGGAGAACGCCUACGGCGAAGGCAGCUUGCUGGGUCACCCCUGACGCUGAGGCACGAAAGCUAGGGGAGCAAACAGGAUUAGAUACCCUGGUAGUCCUAGCCGUAAACGAUGGGCACUUUGUUCCGGGUGGUCCUGACCAUUCGGAGCCGGAGCGAAUGCAUUAAGUGCCCCGCCUGGGGAGUACGGUCGCAAGGUUAAAACUCAAAGGAAUUGACGG
rnacentral:rRNA from 1 species